rnacentral:rRNA from 1 species
GAUGAACGCUGGCGGCGUGCCUAAUACAUGCAAGUCGAGCGAACAGACGAGGAGCUUGCUCCUCUGACGUUAGCGGCGGACGGGUGAGUAACACGUGGCUAACCUACCUAUAAGACUGGGUUAACUUCGGGAAACCGGAGCUAAUACUGGAUACUAUAUUUAACCGCAUGGUUCAAUAGUGAAAGACGGUUUUGCUGUCACUUAUAGAUGGAUCCGCGCCGCAUUAGCUAGUUGGUAAGGUAACGGCUUACCAAGGCAACGAUGCGUAGCCGACCUGCGGGGGUGUUCGGCGUCGCUGGAACUGAGACACGGUCCAGACUCCUACGGGAGGCAGCAGUAGGGAAUCGUCCGCAAUGGUCGAAAGCCUGACGGAGCAACGCCGCGUGAGUGAUGAAGGUCUUCGGAUCGUAAAACUCUGUUAUUAGGGAAGAACAAAUGUGUAAGUAACUAUGCACGUCUUGACGGUACCUAAUCAGAAAGCCACGGCUAACUACGUG